CCUACGGGAGGCAGCAGUGGGGAAUAUUGCACAAUGGGGGAAAGCCUGAUCCAGCGACGCCGCGUGAGUGAAGAAGUAUCUCGGUAUGUUAAGCUUUAUUAGCCGGGAAGCAAAUGACGAUACGCGUCUACGAAGCAGCGUCUAACUACGUGCCAGCAGCCGUGGCUAUAUGUGGGGGGCAAGCGUUAUACGGAUUUACUGGGGGUAAAGGGAGCGUAGUCGGCGGCACAAGUCUGGAGGUAAAACCCCGGGGUUAACCCCGGAACUGCCUUGGAAACUGGGCGGCUAGAGUGCAGGAGGGGUAAGCGGAAUUCGUGGUGUAGCGGUGAAAUGCAUAGAUAUUAGGAAGAACACCGAUGGCGAAGGUAGCAUACUGGCCUGAAACUGACGUUGAGGCACGAAAGCGUGGGGAGCGAACAGGAUUAGAUACCCUAGUAGUC
rnacentral:rRNA from 1 species